ACACUCCUACGGGAGGCAGCAGUGGGGAAUUUUGGACAAUGGGCGAAAGCCUGAUCCAGCCAUGCCGCGUGCAGGAUGAAGGCCUUCGGGUUGUAAACUGCUUUUGUACGGAACGAAACGGCCUUUUCUAAUAAAGAGGGCUAAUGACGGUACCGUAAGAAUAAGCACCGGCUAACUACGUGCCAGCAGCCGCGGUAAUACGUAGGGUGCAAGCGUUAAUCGGAAUUACUGGGCGUAAAGCGUGCGCAGGCGGUUAUGUAAGACAGUUGUGAAAUCCCCGGGCUCAACCUGGGAACUGCAUCUGUGACUGCAUAGCUAGAGUACGGUAGAGGGGGAUGGAAUUCCGCGUGUAGCAGUGAAAUGCGUAGAUAUGCGGAGGAACACCGAUGGCGAAGGCAAUCCCCUGGACCUGUACUGACGCUCAUGCACGAAAGCGUGGGGAGCAAACAGGAUUAGAUACCCUUGUAGUCCC
rnacentral:rRNA from 1 species